rnacentral:rRNA from 1 species
UACGUAGGUCGCAAGCGUUGUCCGGAUUUACUGGGCGUAAAGAGCGCGCAGGCGGCUGGUCAAGUCCGAUGUGAAAUCUCCCGGCUCAACUGGGAAACUGCAUCGGAAACUGAUCGGCUUGAAGAUGGGAGAGGGUAGUGGAAUUCCCGGUGUAGUGGUGAAAUGCGUAGAUAUCGGGGAGGGAACACCGGUGGCGAAGGCGGGUCUCUGGGCCGAUACUGACGCUGAGGAGCGAAAGCGUGGGGAGCGAACAGG